AUUGAACGCUGGCGGCAGGCCUAACACAUGCAAGUCGAGCGGAUGAAGGGAGCUUGCUCCUGGAUUCAGCGGCGGACGGGUGAGUAAUGCCUAGGAAUCUGCCUGGUAGUGGGGGAUAACGUCCGGAAACGGGCGCUAAUACCGCAUACGUCCUGAGGGGGAAAGUGGGGGAUCUUCGGACCUCACGCUAUCAGAUGAGCCUAGGUCGGAUUAGCUAGUUAGUGGGGUAAAGGCCUACCAAGGCGACGAUCCGUAACUGGUCUGAGAGGAUGAUCAGUCACACUGGAACUGAGACACGGUCCAGACUCCUACGGGAGGCAGCAGUGGGGAAUAUUGGACAAUGGGCGAAAGCCUGAUCCAGCCAUGCCGCGUGUGUGAAGAAGGUCUUCGGAUUGUAAAGCACUUUAAGUUGGGAGGAAGGGCAGUAAGUUAAUACCUUGCUGUUUUGACGUUACCAACAGAAUAAGCACCGGCUAACUUCGUG
rnacentral:rRNA from 1 species